rnacentral:rRNA from 1 species
UACGUAGGGUGCGAGCGUUUGUCCGGAAUUAUUGGGCGUAAAGAGCUCGUAGGCGGUUUGUCGCGUCGGCCGUGAAAUCUCCACGCUUAACGUGGAGCGUGCGGUCGAUACGGGCAGACUUGAGUUCGGUAGGGGAGACUGGAAUUCCUGGUGUAGCGGUGAAAUGCGCAGAUAUCAGGAGGAACACCAGCGGCGAAGGCGGCGCUCUGGGCCGGAACUGACGCUGAGGAGCGAAAGCGUGGGUAGCAAACAGG